rnacentral:rRNA from 1 species
CCUACGGGUGGCAGCAGUGGGGAAUAUUGCACAAUGGGGGAAACCCUGAUGCAGCGACGCCGCGUGAGCGAAGAAGUAUUUCGGUAUGUAAAGCCCUAUCAGCAGGGAAGAAAAUGACGGUACCUGAGUAAGAAGCACCGGCUAAAUACGUGCCAGCAGCCGCGGUAAUACGUAUGGAGCAAGCGUUAUCCAGAUUUACUGGGCGUAAAGGGUGCGUAGGCGGGCUGCCAAGUCAGAUGUGAAAUACCGGGGCUCAACCACGGGACUGCAUUGGAAACUGGCAGGCUGGAGUGUCGGAGAGGCAGGCGGAAUUCUUGGUGUAGCGGUGAAAUGCGUAGAUAUUAGGAGGAACACCAGUGGCGAAGGCGGCCUGCUGGACGGUGACUGACGCUGAGGCUCGAAAGCGUGGGGAGCAAACAGGAUUAGAUACCCUGGUAGUC